GAGCGCUGCCGGGCGCGGGAGGGCCCGGAGCGUUCCGGUGAAGCAGCGUCCUCUCAUCCUUCCCUGCUCCCGGCGGGCGUGUCCCGAGCCGAGAGGAGCCCGUGUUCAGGACGCAGGGAGCGAGGAGGCUCAGGGGAGGAGCGCACCAGGGUGUCGCUGCCCCUCCGCUGUGUUGGAACAGAUGUUUAAACCUGCUCUAGACUGAAAACCCAGAAAAGCACCGGCAGUUCAUACCUGUGGCCACUGGGCCAGGUCUGGGCUGCAGCAUUUCCAACACUGGAGGGACUGCUAACAGACUCGAAUGAGGACUGAGAUGUCCAGAAGAGCUGAUGAGACAGACCCCUGACCCAGAAGUAGACCCAGCAGAAUGCAGGCCUCCAUUUGCUUUCACGUGGAGGGGAGUGCAGUAUACCUGGAACCAACUGCCCCAGGGGUGGAAGCACAGUCCUACCAUCUGCCAUGGACUGAUCCAGACUGCGCUAAAAAAAGGUGAGGCUCCAGAACAUCUGCAAUAUAUUGAUGACAUCAUUGUGUGGGGGAACACAACAGCAGAAGUUGUUUGAAAAAGGAGAGAAAAUAAUCCAGAUUCUCCUAAAAACCAGCUUCAUAAUCAAGAAGAGCAAAGUUAAAUGACCUUAAGAAAUCCAGUUCCUGGGAGUAAAGUGGCAAAAGAUGGAUGGCACCAGAUUCCAACUGAUGUCAUGAACAAUAUCACAGCAAUGUGUCCACCAACCAGCAAGAAGGAAACACAAGCUUUCCUAGGCGCCAUAGAUUUUUGGAGAAUGCAUAUUCCUGAGUAUAGUCAGAUCGUGAGCCCUCUCUACCUGGUCACCCACAAAAAGAACACUUUCCACUGGGGCCCUGAACAGCAACAAGCCUUUGCCCAGAUCAAGCAGGAGAUCACUCAUGCAAUAACCCUUAGCCCAGUCAGAACAGGACCAGUUAUGAAGAACGUGCUCUACUCUGCAGCUGGAAGCUAUGAAUUAAGACAAAGUUUCAGACGUGCUGCUAGGUUUCUGUGCUAUGAAGACACGUCACUAGUGUCAACUUAACUCAUAUUUACUUGAACUUCCUAUCCACCCCCCUGAUUUUACUCAUACUGUAUGACAGCAAAACAGCUGGUCUGUGAGCCUGAAAGGAAGAGGGGUUUGGCUACAGAAAGCAGAUGCCUGCCAAACCCUGACAUGAAUGUAAGCAGGUAGCUAUUGGCCAAGUGAGCUGGGUGGUAACCCUUCACAGCCAGUCAGGUUCAAACGCAGAGUCUUUUGAAUAGGGUAAUAGGAGCUGUGCACACCAUGGAAGCUCUCUCUGCUGCAUGAAACCACGAUGUUGUGUCAUCUCCCCAGCUCCCAUAACUGUGACAAUACUGUAAGCUCCUAAAG